UACGGAGGGGGUUAGCGUUGUUCGGAAUGACUGGGCGUAAGCGCGCGUAGGCGGAUCAUCAAGUCGGGGGUGAAAUCCCGGGGCUCAACCCCGGAAUGGCCUUCGAGACUGGUGGUCUUGAGUUCGAGAGAGGUGAGUGGAAUUCCGAGUGUAGAGGUGAAAUUCGUAGAUAUUCGGAGGAACACCAGUGGCGAAGGCGGCUCACUGGCUCGACACUGACGCUGAGGUGCGAAAGCGUGGGGAGCAAACAGG
rnacentral:rRNA from 1 species